rnacentral:rRNA from 1 species
CACCCGCAGCUCGAGUGGAAGUCACUUUUAUUGAGCCUAAAGCGUUCGUAGCCGGUUUUGUAAAUCCUCAGACAAAUUCUCCUGCUUAACGGGAGAUACUCUGGAGAGACUGCGAAACUAGGGACCGGGUGAGGUUGAAGGUCCUUCUGGGGUAGGGGUAAAAUCCUGUAAUCCUGGAAGGACGACCAGUGGCGAAGGCGUUCAACUAGAACGGAUCCGACGGUGAGGAAUGAGGGCUAGGGGAGCAAACCGG